rnacentral:lncRNA from 1 species
UCCUCUGGAAAAGCAGCCAGUGCUCUUAACUCCAGCCAAUUAAGAGUUUUAAGGGGGCUGGCGAGAUGGCUCAGUGGUUAAGAGCGUCGACUGCUCUUCCGAAGGUCCCGAGUUCAAAUCCCAGCAACCACAUGGUGGCUCACAACCAUCCGUAAUGAAAUCUGAUGCCCUCUUCUGGAGUGUCUGAAGACAGCUACAGUGUACUUACAUAUAAUAAAUAAAUAAAUCUUAAAAAGAAAAAAAGAGUUUUAAGAUAGGAACUACCCAUCUGCACAGUUGUAGUCAAAAGACAUUGGUGUGACCCUUUGCUGUUGUGUAAAUGACAGACCUAUCAACCUUAGCUGUCUCCUUCCCUCACUUCGAUUACCCUUAGCAAAACCCCUCUCUCCUAUUUUUUUUUUUUUUUUUGAGACAGGGUUUCUCUUUGUAGCCCUGGCUGUCCUGGAACUCACUCUGUAGACCAGGCUGGCCUCAAACUCAGAAAUCCGCCUGCCUCUGCCUCCCAAGUGCUGGGAUUAAAGGCGUUUGUCACCACUGCCCAGUACCCUCUCUCUUCUUAAACUUCUGAUUUCUCAUGUAACAAACUUAUUCAUUUACAUUUGUUACACAGAAAAUGUUUGUUAUAAACUGUAGAGUAGUCUUUCAUUCAUUCUCUUCCUGGGUUUUGGUUUCCUUUUGGAAGUGCUGUUAUUCCAACCCACUGUCCUGUGUAUGGUAAGCAAGCACUGUACCACUGAGCUAAAACAUUUCUAAUUUUUUUUUUGAGAUCAGUUAUAUCCACAUAAGUGAACAUUUUAUCCUGAUAAAUGGGUACUUUUGACUUGCCUAAUGUCUAUAUCUGUUCUUUUAUUUUAUUUUUUAAUUUACUUCAGACAUACCAAAAUAGGGCAUUAUAUCUCAUUACAAUGAUGGUUGUGAGCCACCAUGUGGUUGCUGGGAAUUGAACUCAGAACCUCUGGAAGAGGAACCAGUGCUCUUAACUGCUGAGCCAUGCCUCCAGCCUCUGACUUUCUGUAUUUAAAUAAUAUUUUAGCUUUAUAUAUUCAGAAUGUAUAUGGAAAUUAUGACAGGCUGGUGAUGGCAGAUUUUGUAAUAAGAUAUGUCUAUGGUAGAGAUAUGAUGGGAAUAUUUCCUCUUAUUUUUGUAUUAUUUCAGCUCAUUAUCAACUAAGCUGGGUUUUGACAUGAGAAACAGAAAUGUUAUAAUUUAGGAGAAGGGUGAGAAAUUUUAUAUAUUUGUUUUGGGUUUUGAUAGCCUGAGUUGGCCUUGAACCUGCAAUCUUUCUGCCCUGGACUCCUCCAGAGUGGGAGAACUAGUCCUGAGCUGCCCCACCCAGCAAGGUGCUAUUCCUUUCUUCUGUGGUAAUUGUUUUCCUAAGUCUUUUUAGAUCACAAUCAAUUAUUCAAGAAGACAUUGUGGGACUAUGAACUGAGUUCUGUUAAACAUUCCUUUGGGGUUGUGUCUAUACUCUUGGUUUCUCUUCUGAAACACUGUCAACUGAACAAGUAGGGUAUCUGACUACAUAUACCCUAAGACCAUACUGACUUGGGCUUUAGGAGGGAGCCCAAGAAAGAUUAUAUUGCACUUUUAUUUAAGACAAAAAUCUCACUGUGCAUGAAAUUUUGGUUGGCUUGGCAGUUGUGUGUAGCUCAAGCUGGUCCUUUUAAGUGCUGGGAUUAUAAACAUGUUCCAUCAUAUCAACCUAUAUAAUAUGCUUUUAGAAAUGUGUAGCUUUAUCUGAAAAUGCCCCAGCUUUGGUAGCGAGACAGUGAACUAACUAGGAUUAAGCUUUGUGAGUUUGGAACAAAGCAUUUCAAAAAUUUGAGUUUCAGGCAUUUUUUUCAUAAUUACUUUUAUAUACAAUUUUAACAUUUUUGAAGUUCUGUUCAAAAAGACAGAAUUCUGGAUAGCAGAAUGUUCUAGAGAGGGAAUUUAUAAUUAAAAGUGAUUCAUCAUGAUUUCCAAAAGGGCUGAUGUAGAGACAGUGAAGAUGUUGGUAUUUUGGCAGGAUUGAUUUAAGCUCACAUUACAUAGGUUUGUGGAGGUCAGAGGACAACAUGCAAGACUUGGUUCUCUCCUUCCACCUUGUGGAAUUAAAAGAACUGAGGCACUCAGGCAGACUAUUAGCAAGUGCCCUCACCCUCUGAGCCAUCUUACUGACUAGGACAUUAAUAAUACCCACAUUUGAGGAAGAGAACCUUUAUAUUCUGCUGGUGGGAAUGUAAACCUGUUGACUUACUGCUGAAAUUGAUGAGAUUCCUCAGAAGACUGCAAGUACAUAACAGCUGAAGAGAGAGAUUUAUUGGUAAAGUACAUUUCCGACAAUCCUGAGGACGUGAGUUCCAUCCCUAGAACCUAUGGAACCAUGAUAGCUUGUGAUUGUAAUCUCAGUCCUGCAGAGGGAGAGACAGGGCAUCCCCUGGCCAGCCAGUCCAGUCCAGUCUAGUCGGUAAGUCACAGCCGAUGACCUAUCUUAAAGGAGGUCUGAGGGUGACACCAGAAGUUACCCUGUAGUGUCUGCAUGUAUGCACAUGGGCACUUGCAAACACUUGUUUUC